GCCACCUUCCGUGAAGAGUCCACGUUCUUCAUUGUCGAGCUGAAGCCAGACAUGGUGAUCCAGGAAGCAGCGCUCCCUCCUACACCAUUAAUUGUUUGCGUAGGAAGCCCGUACAGAUGCAGGAACUUCCUGAUUGCAGCAGACCAGCAAGUUGUAAUGUCUGGUAUCUCUGAGUUCACGGAUGCUCUGUCAUGCCUUAUGGCAGUCUACUUCGUCUUCAA